GACAACCGGUUUUGAAUAGAUGUGUCAAUGAUAUAUAAACAACUGAACGCCAUAUGUCCCAAACACCCGUCAUUCCCUGUUCGAUUAAACACCAAAAAUAAAGUAAAUAUAAUACAAUACGACAUUUUAUGCGUUACAUUGUUAUGUACUUUUCAGGAUUUUCACAAUAACUAACAAUCUUUACGUUUAAUAUUGUGCAUUAAUUAUCAUAUUUUACAGUAACAUUUGAAAUAACUAUACAACAUGUAAGCUAUACUAGCAAAAUUUAAUAGAAAGAACGAUAGCUUUUGAUAAAAGGAAGUUAUAAGAGGGGAUUAAAUAUGUUAAAAUGCUAUUUUCAACACUGCACAUUUUGCUUUCCAAUCGUUUAUUUCAUUAUUUGACCGUAUAUGAUGAAGAUUAUUCGGAAAAUCGCGCACACAACAAUUUUAUCAUAUAUUGUCAUAUACUUUAAGUGAACAUAUAAAUCCCUAUCAGAAUGAAAAUAUUCAAGAUACUGUGCGCCAUAUUGGUGAUGCUAAUGGCAAUUUUAGUAGAAACAGCAAGUGGAUUACCACUUUGGGGACGGUAUGAAAAUAACAGGAUAAAAAAAUAUGCUAAUGACAACACUUUGGAAAUGGCCGUAGGAUAACUGGUAAUGACAAAACAAAAGAAUUGAUAAUACAUAUAGAGUUUUAUAAUAAUAAUAAUAAUAAUAAUAAUAAUAAUAAUAAUAAUAAUAAUAAUAAUAAUAAUAAUAAUAAUAAUAAUUAUAAUAAUAACAACAACAACAAUUAUAAUAAUAAGAAGAAUAAUUAUUAUUUAUCAUUUAGGUAAACCUUUGCAAUAUGAAAAUUAUCAAGAUUCUGUGUGCGAUAUGCAUGAUGCUAUUAUCAGUUUUAGCAGUAACAGCUAGUGGAAAGCCUCCUCGCGGAAGACUUGAAUUUAACAGAGUAAAAAGAGAUGCCAUUGACAACACUUUGAAUAGAAUGGUGAGAUAACUGGUAAUAACAAUCAAAAAGAUUAUUUUAUAGAGUUUUUAAAUUACAACAACAACAACAACAACAAUAAUAAUGAUAAUAAUAAUAAUUUUAUUAUUAUUAUAGAUUAUCUUUGAUCAUCUCAACGAGAUUGAUUUUCUCGCUUGAGCCGGGACGGUUGAGAUGAUCAAUGAUAAUCAUUUUACCGCUGUUUUACAUAUGUCGACGUUGUCUAUUUCACGUCAAUUUCAUUAGCAACUCCACGUGCCUCCUUAGUUUCUAGCGAUAACUUUCCAUCUCAAGCGAGUAGCAUAAUAUGAAAAAUUAUUACAAAACAAGAUAAAAGGGAAAAUGCACAAAAUAGCGAUAAUAAUAAUAAUAAUAAAAAAAAAAUAAUAAAAAUAAAAGUAAUGAUAAUAAUAAUAAAAAAAUAAUGUAAAUUGUAAUUUUUCAGGUGGGAAGAGAUUAGUGGAUUCGUGACACCACACACUGGAUCUUUCAUCAUUGAAGCUGAACUAUAUAUGUUUUGAAUUAAAGUUGGUCUCUGUAUUAGU
rnacentral:lncRNA from 1 species